rnacentral:rRNA from 1 species
ACUCCUACGGGAGGCAGCAGUGGGGAAUAUUGCACAAUGGGCGAAAGCCUGAUGCAGCAACGCCGCGUGAGGGACGAAGGCCUUCGGGUUGUAAACCUCUUUUAGUAGGGAAGAAGCGAAAGUGACGGUACCUGCAGAAAAAGCACCGGCUAACUACGUGCCAGCAGCCGCGGUAAUACGUAGGGUGCAAGCGUUGUCCGGAAUUAUUGGGCGUAAAGAGCUCGUAGGCGGUUUGUCGCGUCUGCUGUGAAAACCCGAGGCUCAACCUCGGGCCUGCAGUGGGUACGGGCAGACUAGAGUGCGGUAGGGGAGAUUGGAAUUCCUGGUGUAGCGGUGGAAUGCGCAGAUAUCAGGAGGAACACCAAUGGCGAAGGCAGAUCUCUGGGCCGUAACUGACGCUGAGGAGCGAAAGCAUGGGGAGCGAACAGGAUUAGAUACCCUGGUAGUCCAUGCCGUAAACGUUGGGAACUAGAUGUGGGGACCAUUCCACGGUCUCCGUGUCGCAGCUAACGCAUUAAGUUCCCCGCCUGGGGAGUACGGCCGCAAGGCUAAAACUCAAAGGAAUUGACGGGGGCCCGCACAAGCGGCGGAGCAUGCGGAUUAAUUCGAUGCAACGCGAAGAACCUUACCAAGGCUUGACAUAUAGAGGAAACGGCUGGAAACAGUCGCCCCGCAAGGUCUCUAUACAGGUGGUGCAUGGUUGUCGUCAGCUCGUGUCGUGAGAUGUUGGGUUAAGUCCCGCAACGAGCGCAACCCUCGUCCUAUGUUGCCAGCACGUAAUGGUGGGAACUCAUGGGAUACUGCCGGAGUCAACUCGGAGGAAGGUGGGGAUGACGUCAAAUCAUCAUGCCCCUUAUGUCUUGGGCUUCACGCAUGCUACAAUGGCCGGUACAAAGGGCUGCAAUACCGUAAGGUGGAGCGAAUCCCAAAAAGCCGGUCUCAGUUCGGAUUGAGGUCUGCAACUCGACCUCAUGAAGUCGGAGUCGCUAGUAAUCACAGAUCAGCAACGCUGCGGUGAAUACGUUCCCGGGCCUUGUACACACCGCCCGU